UGCCAAGAGCAAUUAACUCUGCGUCUUUGGAGGGUGGGAGCCUGCAGUAAGCAGAAUAAUGGCCUCCCAAAGAUGUUUAUGUCCUGAUUCCCAGAACCUGUGAAUUCCUUGCUUGCCAAAGGGGAAUUAAGGUAACAGAUGGGAUCAAUGUUGUUAGUUGGCUGACCUGACGUUAGAUUAUUCUGGAAUAUCCAGGUGGGCCCAAUGUAAUCAGAGGUGUCUUUAAAUGGGGGUGGAGGGAAGGAAGCUGAUGAGUCAGUCUUAGAGUGAUGCAGCAGGAGAAAGGCUCAACCGUUGUAGGCUUCGAAGAGAAGGGGACCGCCAGCCAAAAACUCCAGCAGUUUCUGGAAGCCAGAGAAGGCAAGGAAAUGACUUCUCCCCUAGAGCCUCUGGAAAGGAACACAGCCCUUCUGACAUCUUGAGCUUCGUCCAGUGAGACUCAUUUUGGACUUUUGGCCUCCCGGACUGAAGCUGAGCAAUUUUGUAGGAGACCCAGGUCUUCCCAGAGGUUUUCCUGAAGAUAUUUCUGCUACUGUUUCAUUGAAACUGAAGAAAGCCACUAAGGAACUGUGAUGGCAUCCAAAUGCUGUGACUCUGGAUGGAGAUGCUGCUGGCACUGGAAGACAGACGUUGCUUUGGGGUACAGAGAACAUUUAAACAGAAAGUUCCCAAAUUUUUCACUGGAGCUUUCAAAAAACGGUCAAGUCAGCAACUGAACUACAUGUACUAAAAUUGAUAAACUUGAGAAACUGAAACUCUUGAUCUGUUAUCAUGGUAUUUUGAGACAUAUUGACUAAAUCCAAUUACCACGUAAGAAGAAUUACUUCUCUCAGUGAUGGCACUAAAAAAAAUUUUUUGGCAUUGUCGGGUUACAACCUGACAAGUUUUGAGUUUAAAAAGAAAAAAGCUUAUUCUUUCUGCUAUGGAAAAGCCUACUGUUUUGUCAAAAUAUUGCCUGUGAACAGUGAGAGUUAUGUUUAUUUGAAAACAUAAUUCAAAGUUUAUUUUCAUUAUUAAGACAUUUUUAGAGAAUGAUCUUAUUAACACAUAAAUAUUGCUUUCCAAUAUUUAGUGUUCUCUCCAUUUAAAAGUUAAAAAUUAAUAUUUUAAGAUUAUAGCCAAUGUCUAUUCAUUUAGAAAUGGGAAAUGCUUAUGCUACAAGUAAAUGUCUAAUCUAAUUUUACAGUAUUUGGAUGUCUUUUUGGAUGCAAAUGAACAACUGCAUUGCACGUUUACAGAAUUCAAAGCUCAAAACUCAGUGGGGAAUCUCAGUCUGCUCUUCAGAAAGGCACUGUGGGCAAGACUAAUAGGGAAUAUUCCAUUGGUGGUAAUGGGCAAUAAUGCUUUUGCUUUCAAAAAGUUUAUGAAUGUCUGAGAACUAGAAAUGCAAGGAAUUCAGACUUCCUUCAUUGUCUAUACAUGGUCAGC